UACUACCGAAGCUACGGCAUCAGUAAUGAUGGGUAGGGGAGCUUCCCAUACGGGUUGAAGCAUGACCGUAAGGACAUGUGGACAGUAUGGGAGUGAGAAUGUUGGCAUGAGUAGCGAGAUGUGGGUGGGAAUCCCACAGGCCGUAAACCCAAGGUUUCCAGGGGAAGGUUCGUCCGCCCUGGGUUAGUCGGGACCUAAGCUGAGGCCGAAAGGCGUAGGUGAUGGACAACAGGUUGAUAUUCCUGUACUACCGAUAACCGUUUGAGAGAAGGGAUGACACAGUAGGAUAAGCUAAGCACACUGUUGGUUAUGUGUGCCCAAGCAUUGAGGCAGUCAAAGUAGGCAAAUCCACUUUGAUAAUGCUGGGAUGUGAUGGGGAGCGAAAUUUAGUAGCGAAGUAGCUGAUUUCACACUGUCAAGAAAAGUCUCUAUCGAGGUUAAAGGUACCCGUACCGCAAACCGACACAGGUGGGGGAGGAGAGUAUCCUAAGGCCAGCGAGAGAACUGUUGUUAAGGAACUCGGCAAAAUGACCCCGUAACUUAGGGAUAAGGGGUGCCACCAUCAGGUGGCCGCAGAGAAUAGGCCCAAGCGACUGUUUACCAAAAACAUAGGUUUCUGCUAAGUCGCAAGACGAUGUAUAGGAGCUGACGCCUGCCCGGUGCUGGAAGGUUAAGGGGAUCUGUUAGAGCAAUCGAAGCAGUGAAC
rnacentral:rRNA from 1 species